rnacentral:rRNA from 1 species
UACAGAGGGUGCAAACGUUGUUCGGAAUUACUGGGCGUAAAGCGAGUGUAGGCGGUGAAGUAAGUCAGAUGUGAAAUCCCACGGCUCAACCAUGGAAGUGCAUUUGAUACUGCUUCGCUUGAGUACUGGAGAGGUUGGUGGAAUUCUUGGUGUAGAGGUGAAAUUCGUAGAUAUCAAGAGGAACACCGGUGGCGAAGGCGGCCAACUGGACAGAUACUGACGCUGAGACUCGAAAGUGCGGGGAGCAAACAGG